GACGAACGCUGGCGGCGUGCUUAACACAUGCAAGUCGAACGGAAAGGCCCUGCUUUUGUGGGGUGCUCGAGUGGCGAACAGGUGAGUAACACGUGAGUAACCUGCCCUUGACUUUGUGAUAACUUCAGGGAACUGGGGCUAAUACCGGAUAGGAGCUCCUGCUGCAUGGUGGUGGUUGGAGAGAUUCGGCGGUUGGGGAUGGACUCGCGGCUUAUCAGCUUGUUGGUGGGGUAGUGGCUUACGAAGGGUUUGACGGGUAGGCGGCCUGAGAGGGUGACCGGCCACAUUGGGACUGAGGUACGGCCCAGAAGCCUACGGGAGGCAGCAGUGGGGAAUAUUGCGCAACGGGCGGAAGCCUGAUGUAGCAACGCUGCGUGCGGGAUGAUGGCCUUCGGGGUGUAAACCGAUUUCGCCUGUGACGAAGAGUGAGUGACGGUAAUGGGUAAAGAAGCACCGGCUAACUACGUG
rnacentral:rRNA from 1 species